GACGAACGCUGGCGGCGUGCUUAACACAUGCAAGUCGAACGCGAAAGUCCUUGGGCGAGUAGAGUGGCGGACGGGUGAGUAAUGCGUGGGAAUCUACCUCGUAGUGGGGGACAACCCGGGGAAACUCGGGCUAAUACCGCAUACGUUCUAUGGAAGAAAGGGGGCCUCUGCUUGCAAGCUCUCGCUAUGGGAUGAGCCCACGUCCGAUUAGCUUGUUGGUGGGGUAAAAGCCCACCAAGGCGACGAUCAGUAGCUGGUCUGAGAGGACGAUCAGCCACACUGGGACUGAGACACGGCCCAGACUCCUACGGGAGGCAGCAGUGGGGAAUUUUGGACAAUGGGGGGCAACCCUGAUCCAGCAAUGCCGCGUGAGUGAAGAAGGCCUCGGUGUAAGACUCUUUG
rnacentral:rRNA from 1 species